UGCUAGUGGAACAACCACGAGGUGGUUGGUUAAUUUUCCAGGUUUUUCUUCGUCAUCCCCAGGGAUACUGAUUGUAUAACGUGUGCUAUAUUUGUCCUGGUGACGUUUGAAACUGAAAAAAACCAGGGACCACGUGUUGAUGCAUAAAACUUUAGUGUCUAAGUGUCGUGGUUUCUUCGCAGGCACCCCAUCUGAAAAUCUUCUGGCGCCCUAAAUUAAGAAUAUGGAGGGAUUCAACAUAAUAUAAAUUGUUUUGGUGACCAUUGCAAUGACAUAUCUGUUUAAUGGGAGGUUAAAAAAAUAAUUUCUACACGCGAUGCCAUAAUGCUGUAUUGCAAUUUAUGCAAGAUACGACAUGAAUUAUUGAAGCAAUCUGUCCAGGACCUCAAAUAACACUGACCUACAAUCGUUUGACCUUGCUGAAGUGGGAAAAAUGGAAUAAGUAUAAACACUUAGAAGGUUUUAAAUUUCGUGAAUCAAAUAUUUAUAUAUCUACUUAGUUCAGUUUUCGUAUUAUGGGUGGCACUCACCUGAGGAAAUUUAUGCCAACAGCCACCUAAGUUUUGAGACAAUUCUAUAUAAAAAAAUAUUUAUAUUUAUACGUUAAAAAGAAAAAAAUUAAAAUACAAUUCCUUUGAACAUU